UACAGAGGUCUCAAGCGUUGUUCGGAUUCAUUGGGCGUAAAGGGUGCGUAGGCGGCGCGGUAAGUCGGGUGUGAAAUCUCGGAGCUUAACUCCGAAACUGCAUUCGAUACUGCCGUGCUUGAGGACUGGAGAGGAGACUGGAAUUUACGGUGUAGCGGUGAAAUGCGUAGAUAUCGUAAGGAAGACCAGUGGCGAAGGCGGCUACCUGGCCGGAUACUGACACUGAAGCACGAAAGCGUGGGGAGCAAACAGG
rnacentral:rRNA from 1 species